rnacentral:rRNA from 1 species
GGGGAAUUUUGGACAAUGGGGGAAACCCUGAUCCAGCCAUGCCGCGUGUCUGAAGAAGGCCUUCGGGUUGUAAAGGACUUUUGUCCGGGAGGAAACCCUGAUCGUUAAUAGCGGUCGGGACUGACAGUACCGGAAGAAUAAGCACCGGCUAACUACGUGCCAGCAGCCGCGGUAAUACGUAGGGUGCAAGCGUUAAUCGGAAUUACUGGGCGUAAAGCGUGCGCAGGCGGUGAGAUAAGUCAGCUGUGAAAGCCCCGGGCUCAACCUGGGAACUGCGGCCGAAACUGUCUCGCUAGAGUACGUCAGAGGGGGGUGGAAUUCCACGUGUAGCAGUGAAAUGCGUAGAGAUGUGGAGGAACACCAAUGGCGAAGGCAGCCCCCUGGGAUGAUACUGACGCUCAUGCACGAAAGCGUGGGGAGCAAAC